rnacentral:rRNA from 1 species
AGUGAACGCUGGCGGUAGGCCUAACACAUGCAAGUCGAACGGCAGCACAGGAGAGCUUGCUCUCUGGGUGGCGAGUGGCGGACGGGUGAGGAAUACAUCGGAAUCUACUUUUUCGUGGGGGAUAACGUAGGGAAACUUACGCUAAUACCGCAUACGACCUACGGGUGAAAGCAGGGGAUCUUCGGACCUUGCGCGAUUGAAUGAGCCGAUGUCGGAUUAGCUAGUUGGCGGGGUAAAGGCCGACCAAGGCGACGAUCCGUAGAUGGUCUGCGAGGAUGAUCAGCCACACUGGAACUGGGACACGGUCCAGACUCCUACGGGAGGCAGCAGUGGGGGAUAUUGGACAAUGGGCGCAAGCCUGAUCCAGCCAUACCGCGUGGGUGAAGAAGGCCUUCGGGUUGUAAAGCCCUUUUGUUGGGAAAGAAAUCCAGCUGGCUAAUACCCGGUUGGGAUGACGGUACCCAAAGAAUAAGCACCGGCUAACUUCGUGCCAGCCGCCGCUGUAACAC